rnacentral:lncRNA from 7 species
GUGGUGGUCUCCCGACUCCCCCAUUGGCCCAAUCCCUCAUGCCCUGCCUCUACCUCCAGUCCAUGUCUCUUCCCUCCUAGACCUAGGUGCCAGUGGCGGCGCCUCCGCACUACGGCCUCCAGUCUAUGCCUCCACCUCCAUGCUCCACUGCACGGAUCCGGAUCCGGCAACGACGACCUCCCUGCGGUCAGCGGUCUGCGACCUCCAUUGAUUCGCACCACAUCGUUCGCCCCUUCCUAGCAGUGAGCAUACAAAGCAAGUGUUCUUUAAAAUAAUCUUUUAUAGAGUGGCCCGGGGCAUCAAUUUUAUGGAGCUCCGCCACUGUCGCCCAGGGUAUAGCACAUAUAAUGAUGUAGAGAGUGUUAGAGAGGAGAGUCUAGGCUAGAGGAGCAGGCGUAGCACACGACAACGACUGUUGGGGGGUUCUCUUUGAUCGAAGGUUCUCAAGUCAUUAAUUUGUCAAUUUUUUUUCCAAUUCUAUUUCAGGUAUAAUGAAGGGUUGACCAUGUACACCUUCGAUCGGAAAUAAUACUCGAGCAGUGCAAGCAUGAAAACGAAGCUGAGAAGCUUCAGUUCCGUGUUUUGGACACGCAACGAAGGAUCAGUAAGAGGAAGCGAUAAGAUCUUAGAGGCUUGGACAACAUGUCUAAUGAUGGAAAAAACUUUUAUACCCUUAAAAUAUCUUGUAGUUUGUGUGCAUAGGACUGAGUGCAUGAUUGUAAUUUUUACAACACUAUAAAUAGAGAUACAAUGUCAUGCACAGGGGACACUUUG